GACGAACGCUGGCGGCGUGCCUAAUACAUGCAAGUAGAACGCAGUUGCGAACGGGUGAGUAACGCGUAGGUAACUUCCUCAUAGCGGGGGAUAACUAUUGGAAACGAUAGCUAAUACCGCAUACUGUGAGCUGGACCUGCGUUGUAAUAGCUAGUUGGUGGGGUAAAGGCUCACCAAGGCGACGAUAGAUAGCCGACCUGAGAAGUGGAGCGGCGAACCUGGGACAUAGAAACGGCCCAGACUCCUACGGGAGGGCGCGAUAGGGAAUGUUCGGCUAUGGGCGGAAGACUAACCUAGCAACGCCGAGUGAGUGAAGAAGGUGUUCGGAUCGUAAAGCUCUGUUGUUCGAGAAGCGGUAACUAACCAGAUAGGGACGGCUAACUACGUGCCAGCAGCCGCGGUAAUAC
rnacentral:rRNA from 1 species